rnacentral:rRNA from 1 species
UACGUAGGUGACAAGCGUUGUCCGGAUUUACUGGGCGUAAAGAGCGCGCAGGCGGUCGAUCAAGUCGAGUGUGAAAGCCCCCGGCUCAACUGGGGAGGGUCACGCGAUACUGAUCGACUCGAAGGCAGGAGAGGGUAGUGGAAUUCCCGGUGUAGUGGUGAAAUGCGUAGAUAUCGGGAGGAACACCAGUGGCGAAGGCGGCAUCCUGGACCAACACUGACACUGAUGAGCGAAAGCCAGGGGAGCAAACGGG